rnacentral:tRNA from 1 species
GUAAUUGUAAGGGUUUUGAAACAUUCCCUAACUUGCAUGGCAUGCAGGGGGUCAGCGGUUCGAAUCCGCUUGGCUCCA